rnacentral:rRNA from 1 species
UGGGGAAUUUUGGACAAUGGGGGAAACCCUGAUCCAGCCAUCCCGCGUGUGCGAUGAAGGCCUUCGGGUUGUAAAGCACUUUUGGCAGGAAAGAAACGUCAUGGGUUAAUACCCCGUGAAACUGACGGUACCUGCAGAAUAAGCGCCGGCUAACUACGUGCCAGCAGCCGCGGUAAUACGUAGGGUGCAAGCGUUAAUCGGAAUUACUGGGCGUAAAGCGUGCGCAGGCGGUUCGGAAAGAAAGAUGUGAAAUCCCAGAGCUCAACUUUGGAACUGCAUUUUUAACUACCGGGCUAGAGUGUGUCAGAGGGAGGUGGAAUUCCGCGUGUAGCAGUGAAUUGCGUCGAUAUGCGGAGGAACACCGAUGGCGAAUGCAUCCUCCUUGGAUAACACUGACUCUCAUGCACGAAAGCGUGUGGAGCAAACAGG